rnacentral:lncRNA from 1 species
AUGUCUCUGCAGGAAGUCUCAGCACGGAAACCAAGGACUACAAAGACAGAAGUCUACCCUUUUACACUGGGCUGCUGUUAUUGCUUUCGGCUGCUUUGUGCUUUCCCUGGAGGGAGAGGAGAAUCAGGCAGUUGUCGAAGAAAAAAAGAAACCCAACCCACUAACAACUAUGUUGGGAGAAAGAGGUACAUCAAAGAAGAAUGGGACUGCUGUUCAAAGGAGAAGGAAAAAUAAUGGACAGUGGAGAGAUGGCAGAUGGGGUCAAAUUCAUCCUAGCUUCCCUGGUUUCUCUCAGUCAUGCAAAAUGGAGCUAGCCUAGAAAGUAGUAAAACGGGGCAAAAAGACUGAAUUCGCUUUAGCCAUUAGCAAAGACAGUCUGUGUUUCAUAAGUAUGAAACUGAACUGCAUUAUAACAAUUAAGUUAAAGUGGUUGAAAUCUUAACUUGGUUUAAUUCAUCCAAGACUUCAUUCAGUCUCUAGGCUAAUUUUUUUUUAAAUUAAAAUUUAUUUUUUCAAUUAUAUCAAAAAUCAGUUUUUUCUCUUCUGCUCCCACUCCCCCCACCCCGGA